UUCCCUGCUUCCUACAGAAAAUGGAAGAACUGCUCGGUUUUAUCGCUCUGCCUCUGCCCAGACCUGCGGGACCCUGCGGUGGAGACCUCCUCGGGACACGGCUCUCUGGUGCUGAUUAGAAACUGAAGAAUGCCAAGGAUGGAUCUGAGUUUGAGACGGUGGCCGAACGAGUUCGGAUGACGAUGUCACUUGCUGUGGGGUUAUGUGGUGUUCUAGGUCAUGCUCUAAAACAUGGCUUGUGCUAUCCUGAACAAACGCAGAGUCAUCGAACUGUGGCAGAAGGUCUUCCUGCAAGAGGUCAUCUGGGUCAAGUCCUGUGAAUGGUUCAUUGUGAGUCUCCACUUGAUGAAGAGGUGUCAGAGGAUGGACCCUCUGCUCCUGCUGCCAGCAAUGGGACAAGAGGAAGGGGCAGGAAUGAUGCCCAGGAAGUUGCCCCUGGACAUGAGCAAGGAGCCCUGAACAGCUUGGCCAGAGCUGUGGAGUGUCCCUCACUGGGGACAUUCCAGAACUGUCUGGACACAACCCUGUGCCCUGUGCUCUGGGUAAUUCUGCUUGAGCAGGGAGGUUGGACCCGGUGACCCCACUGAGCUCCUCUCCAACCUGCCCUGUGAGUCUGUGAUUCUUAUUUUGGAUACUAAACCACAGAUUUUUAUACACAUUUUCUAACACAAAAUAAACAACUCAUUUCAAUUAAUUGAGAAUAGCUACACAAAUUUAUAUUUUUUAAAAAUAUUAUGUAAAUUUUAGUAAAACAGUUUGGUUUUGCACAACAUCCUUGUGUGCUUUUAUCUCUUCAGUCUUGGCAAAUACCUUUAGAAAAUUUAACAGCACCAGCUGAAGACAUUAUUAUUUUCAACUACCUUCUUCACCUUUCUGCCAAAGGUUAUUGCCCUCAAAGCACACCUGCAGAACAAAACAUGUAGGUGUGCAGCUGCUGCUUCAGCAUAUAGUCUCCCAAUUUAGUUUUAACCCUUCCUCUUGUUUGUUUAACAAACCCAUUAGACAUUGCAUGAAAAUGGCAGAAGUGUAUAUAUACCUUCUAUUUUGUCAUUUAUAUCUUGUGGACAUUAACUGCAAUAAAGGGACAAUAAUAAUACAGAGAAUGUCAACAUGUUAAUCAGCUGCUAUUGACAGAAAUCUAGAAAGAUACCAGGAGUUUGCAAUACCUUACUGCAAAGAACAAAGUUUAUCCCCAAGUCAGUUUAUUUUAGUGAAAAUAGCUGUUUAGAAGUUACUAGGCUUGGCCACCAGACUACUGAAGGAAUCCAUAUUAGUAGCCAGUACUGCUCAUACUAUAUUGCAAUUUUGUUUCUCCAAAGUGUACCUGUGGAGAUUUUAAUAAAUUUCAGGACUGCA